ensembl:lncRNA
AGGUGAUGGAGGCGGUCGUCUGGAGGUGCUCGCCAUGAGGUCCGUGGCGGUCGUCUGGAGGUCCGUGGCGGUCGUCUGGCGGUCAUCUGGAGGUCCGUGGCGGUCGUCUGGAGGUCCGUGGCGGUCGUCUGGAGGUCCGUGGCGGUCGUCUGGAGGUCCGUGGCGGUCGUCUGGAGGUCCGUGGCGGUCGUCUGGAGGUCCGUGGCGGUCGUCUGGAGGUCCGUGGCGGUCGUCUGGAGGUCGUCUGGAGGUCGUCUGGAGGUCCGUGGCGGUCGUCUGGAGGUCCGUGGCGGUCGUCUGGAGGUCCGUGGCGGUCGUCUGGAGGUCCGUGGCGGUCGUCUGGAGGUCCGUGGCGGUCGUCUGGAGGCGCCUGCUGCAGGUGGAGGGAAGGCCGGAGCCGUGCAGCCCAACGGAUGCAGAACGGUGAGACAUGGAACUUCAAAGCGGCACAUUUCUUCUAGGCUUGGUGAAUUGUUUAGAAUUAAAACUUUGACAUGGCGCCACAGCAACUCUGAGGUGUUCUGAAAAAUGCCAGAUGCAUUCUCAGCCACUAGGACCAGCUCCAGGAUGUAGGCUAGGUGUGUGUGGCUGGCUGUUGGGUUAAAUAAUACCUCACUCAAGACUGCACAGUAGGGCAUCAGUGAGAUCUGUGGGAGCUAAAGCAGAGGAGGAGUUGAUUAUCUGCAUCAUGUACGGGGAGAAAUGUGCAGUGUGCAAAUGGAACGUGUCAUUCGCCUUUCAGAAGGACUGAGGCGGAGGUCCUGGAGGCGGAGGUCCUGGAGGCGGAGGUCCUGGAGGCGGAGGUCCUGGAGGCGGCGGUGGCCUGGAGGUCCUGGAAGCGUCCAACCUGGAAGGGGCGGCAUGGUGGGCCAGGUGGCGGCUCCUCAUCCAGUAAAAAGGUCCUGGAGGCGGCCAACCUGGAAGGCCUGGAGACGGCGGCGGGCCUGGAGGUGGACGCCAACUUGGAGGUCCUGGAGUCGGUGGGCCUGGAGGCGGUGGUUGGGACCAACCUGGAGGGCCUGGAGGCGGUGGUUGGGACCAACCUGGAGGUCCUGGCGGUGGCGUCCACCUGGCGGCGGUCAGCCUGGAGGGCCCGGCGGCGGCGGCGACGUCCUGGAGGGCCCGGCGGCGGCGGCGGCGGCGGCGGCGGCGGCGGCGGCGGCGGCGGCGACGUCCUGGAGGGCCCGGCGGCGGCGUCCUGGAGGGCCCGGCGGCGGCGUCCUGGAGGGCCCGGCGGCGGCGUCCUGGAGGGCCCGGCGGCGGCGGCGGUGGCGUCCACCCGGCGGCGGCGUCCUGGAGGGCCCGGCGGCGGCGGCGGUGGCGUCCACCUGGCGGCGGCGUCCUGGAGGGCCCGGCGGUGGCGUCCACCUGGCGGCGGCGUCCUGGAGGGCCCGGCGGCGGCGGUGGCGUCCACCUGGCGGCGGCGUCCUGGAGGGCCCGGCGGCGGCGGCAGCGGCGUCCUGGAGUGCCCGGCGGGGCGAGGGCCCGGCGGCGGUGGCGGCGGCGGCGGCUCCUCAUCCGGUUAAGCUAAACUCUUCUCCAGUGCAUCAUGAACGGGGAGGAAUGUCCGGGGUGCAAAUAGAACGCGUGUCUCAUUUCAGAAGAAAUGAGGCGACGUUGCGGUGGCCCAGGCGGUCGGCCCGGUGGAGGUCCUGGAGGACGGCUGGGGGAUCCGGCAGUGGAGGUCCGGAGGUGGCUCGUGAUUAGACCAACCAGCUCCUCAUCCAUGGAAGGUAAGCUCUUCAAUCUGAUCAAUUUGAUCAAAGAGCGCAGCCAUGAACUGGUGGUAUCGCCAUUUGGGGACUAAACUCUAAUGUUUAACUCAAGUAACUGCAGUGU